AGAGAAUGCUGGGAAGAAGAAAGGAGGAAUUGCCAGCCAGAUGGAGAGGGAGCAGCAUGGACUUUACAAAGUCAAGCCUCCCUCGGAGCCAGGAUGGAAACCUACGCCACCAGUUCUGCCUAUCAGAAGUACCAAUAGAACGCUGGAAGUUGGUGAUGCCCAAACCAAGGGACUUGGGAUGCCCCGUCAUUCCUAUGGCCGAGGUGGAAGGCUUCCAAAGCGCACUUUGAGCUGCUGUGGCGCCACUUCCAGGCUGGGUCCUCACUGUGUGAGCAGGAGGUUCUGCCCUGGGUGAUGGAGAGGGCAGAAGAGAGACGCCGGGAUUCCACUUGCAGGAUGCAGAGAAAGAAGAUGGGAAGUUGGGAAUCAAGUGGGAACAAACGAGCUGGCGAGACUAUGCAUCAAAACUGCUAAGGCAAACAAUGAGUCACUGGGUCUCUACCAUUCUUCCCUGCGGAAGCCGCUCAUGGACUUUGCUGCAUUUUGUUUGUGAACAGGUUUAGAAAUAUUAUUUCAAUAAACAGUGGAUUUGCUUUA